UAGGGAAUCUUCGGCAAUGGACGAAAGUCUGACCGAGCAACGCCGCGUGAGUGAAGAAGGUUUUCGGAUCGUAAAACUCUGUUGUUAGAGAAGAACAAGGACGUUAGUAACUGAACGUCCCCUGACGGUAUCUAACCAGAAAGCCACGGCUAACUACGUGCCAGCAGCCGCGGUAAUACGUAGGUGGCAAGCGUUGUCCGGAUUUAUUGGGCGUAAAGCGAGCGCAGGCGGUUUCUUAAGUCUGAUGUGAAAGCCCCCGGCUCAACCGGGGAGGGUCAUUGGCAACUGGGAGACUUGAGUGCAGAAGAGGAGAGUGGAAAUCCAUGUGUAGCGGUGAAAUGAGUAGAUAUAUGGAGGAACACCAGUGGCGAAGGCGGCUAUCUGGUCUGUAAAUGACGCUGAGGCACGAAGGCGUGGGGAGCAAACAGG
rnacentral:rRNA from 1 species